GAGCUGUAGUGGUGAUCAGAGAGUGUUCAGUCCUUUAACACACACUGACAAACAGCACAAUGAUGAUGUCACUCAUUCUACUGCUGGGGACACUGGGACUCCUCACUCAGGAAUCCUUUGGGGAGAUAAUUCUGACUCAGUCUCCACGUUCUCAGUCAGUUACACCAGGACCGUAACGAUUCCCAUAGGAACAGGCGAGAGGCAGAAUACAUGUGCAGGGGGCAGUUUAUUAACGGAGGAAAAACACAAUCACUGAAGGCAAAAUAACGGGCAAGGAGAAAACACUGAGGCAAAAUGAUACACAAACUAAUCAAACGGAAAAGCAACAGGAAACCCACGAGCAUAAUUUAUACAGGACAGUACUAACGUAACUUACCAAAAUAACCAACAAACUAGAAAACAAAACACGCAACAAAACUAAGGAGCAGAACCAGGCACUGCAGGAAAACAGACAACAGGGAAACCAUGACAACAGGAAUACCAGGAUGGCAGCCACUCCUGACAAGGACAGAUUGAUACUAUCAGUUGCAGGGCCAGUCUGGGUAUUAGCAAUUACCUCCACUGGUACCUACAGAAACCUGGAGAAGCUCCUAAACUCCUAAUCCAUUAUUCAUCUACCUGUCAGUCUGGGAUUCCAGAUAUAUAAAUGUUUUAUUUUUGUGUGUUCUGGUAAGUAGGGAGUGGCUGCCAUUGUGUUUGGAGCCUGGGUUAUUUUAUAUGUUUUCUCUUAUUGAGUUACUGUAGUCUUGUGUAUUUAUUUUGUCUGUGUUUUCACUUAUGGAGUUUAUGUAGUCUUAUGUGUUUAUUUUGUCCUGUACAGGUUUAGUCAGCAUCUUUGUUUUCUAGUGUGGGUUUGUACAAGUGUUAGACUUUGAACUGUGUUUAUUAGAUGUUGGAUAUUUUGUUCAUAUAAUACACUGGCACACCUUGAACUAU